rnacentral:rRNA from 1 species
CCUACGGGAGGCAGCAGUGGGGGAUAUUGCGCAAUGGGGGGAACCCUGAUGCAGCGACGCCGCGUGGGUGAAGAAGCGCCUCGGCGCGUAAAGCCCUGUCAGCAGGGAAGAAAAUGACGGUACCUUAAGAAGAAGCCCCGGCUAACUACGUGCCAGCAGCCGCGGUAAUACGUAGGGGGCAAGCGUUAUCCGGAUUUACGGGGUGGAAAGGGGGCGCAGACGGCGAUGCAAGCCAGGAGUGAAAGCCCGGGGCCCAACCCCGGGACUGCUCUUGGAACUGCGUGGCUGGAGUGAAGGAGGGGCAGGCGGAAUUCCUGGUGUAGCGGUGAAAUGCGUAGAUAUCAGGAGGAACACCGGUGGCGAAGGCGGCCUGCUGGACUGCAACUGACGUUGAGGCCCGAAAGCGUGGGGAGCAAACAGGAUUAGAUACCCUGGUAGUC